GGGAGGGCCUUCUGCUCUUGGCCAAUGCUUUGCUGUCUGCUGACGUACAGUCCAAUCACAAGUCGUAUUUAUCUGAAAGGUGGGAUUGACCGACUGCUCCGCCAAUGACAAAAGCGCACAGGAUACGCAAACAGAGAAUGCGCAGAUUUCUGGCCACAAGACGUCCCGGAUGGCUUGCGGUCUGGUUCUAAAAUAAGGUUACCAACUUUUCGCUGGAAUUCACCGUACAAUUGCCAUCAGUCUGCGUAUAAAUAACACGACUUUACACUUUCUAGUUGCGUGUAAUGCAUACGCCAAAUGCCAUUUUUGAGUGAAUAUGAUACACCAAUACUUCACAUUAAUUUCGGUGGAGAGCAGAUGCGUCCAAAUAACACGCAUCAUCUUCAGCGGCAGUGACGUCACCAGCGAGGAUCGUCCAGUUCACCUGAUGCGCGUACACCUUCAAACAGGUAAGCAAGGUUACGUCGGAUUACAUGCUCCACAACAACCUGUAAUCCAGCAGAUCUUUAAAGAAGCCAUCUCUUGUAAAAUCUCUCUCUCUCUCUCUCUCUCUCUCUCUCUCUCUCUCUCUCUCUCUCUCUCUCGCUCUGCUAGAAUUAACAGUUAACUUUAACUCCACGCUCCCAAUGCUGAUAUUGAAGAAGCUGUUAAGGGGGCUGAACAAGUCCUUCAAAGGUUCAACCCCUCACAGGAAGGCCUGUCAUGAGAUUUGAAUUUGACCAUCUUGUGCAUUUAUGAAGAAGACCAAAAGCUGCAAAGGCAAACACUUGCAAUGGCAGAAACUGAGAGUUUGCAUGAUGGCAUUUUCUCAGACGCUGAAUCUGAUGUGUACAGAUGAACUCAGGAGCCUACUAGAGUUGCCAAGGAACUUGUGCUUGAACUGAAGACCAGAAACGCAAAAGAAAAUCAGUCAAGCCAGUCCUAAAGAAAUGAGGAAUGAACAUGGACUUCUUGUGCCCCAAAAGAAAAGACAGAAAGCUCCUAGAAUGAGCAAAUCAGCUGUGCAUCAUCUCUGUGAUUUGGGAAGGAAAUGACUGAAUAUGAUGGAGCCAGUUGAUGAAGAUAUCAAUUGAAUGGCCACCGAGUGCAUCACUGCUACCUGAACCCAUCAGUUAUCUGCUGUGAAGACUGCAUUCACAAACCGCUCUACUGCGACAGCUCAGAUGUUACGGCCUGUAAAAGUAAACAUCACAGCAAAACAACGAGAGCUAGUUGUGGUGGGAUUCUUUUGGCCAAUAUCCCCAACAAGAAUCGAUGUUAAGUCCAGUGCAACAAUUAUAAAUAAAAAUACUUUAUAUUGUUUAUUGAUUUACCAUACCCUAAAUACAUGUUUUGUCUCUCCAGGACAUCUAGACCAGGUGGAGUGUGAGGAGGACGGUCAGAGACUCCAGCCAGCCGAGCCAUGGAUUGCUCUCACUGUUACCAUCAGGCAGACGUUAUCACAGAACCUACACCAGCAGACAGUGAGACAAGUUCCUUUCACAGGCAAUCAGACUGAACUGAACUCAUACCAGUAAAACCAUACACACCCCACCAACCUCAUAUGCCCUGCACUCUUAUCAGUUAUGCUGACUGGACUCAAUAUUAUUAUGCACCCUGACAUUCUGUUUGCACUAAUUCAUACCGUGCUUUACUGCAGAGAUGUAUGUGUACUGUGGUUAUUAUUGUUUUCAAUUCAUGCUCUCUGUAUAGCAUAAUUUUUAACAUAUUGUUCUCUACCUGAAUUGAGUCCCUUAUAUAUGUAUGUUGCAUAUAUAUAUUCAGAAUUUGUAUUUCAUAUAUAUUCAUGAAUUAAUUAAUUUGUCAUCCAUACUGUCACGCUGCAGUCUGCACUCAAGACUUUCACCACCUGUAUACUUGUGUUCAUUGUAUUGUGACAAUAAAGACAUUUGAUUUAAA